GAUGAACGCUGGCGGCGUGCCUAAUACAUGCCAGUCGAGCGAACAGACGAGGAGCUUGCUCCUCUGACGUUAGCGGCGGACGGGUGAGUAACACGUGGAUAACCUACCUAUAAGACUGGGAUAACUUCGGGAAACCGGAGCUAAUACCGGAUAAUAUAUUGAACCGCAUGGUUCAAUAGUGAAAGACGGCUUUGCUGUCACUUAUCGAUGGAUCCGCGCCGCAUUAGCUAGUUGGUAAGGUAACGGCUUACCAAGGCAACGAUGCGUAGCCGACCUGAGAGGGUGAUCGGCCACACUGGAACCGAGACACGGUCCAGACUCCUACGGGAGGCAGCAGUAGGGAAUCUUCCGCAAUGGGCGAAUGCCUGACGGAGCAACGCCGCGUGAGUGAUGAAGGUCUUCGGAUCGUAAAACUCUGUUAUUAGGGAAGAACAAAUGUGUAAGUAACUAUGCACGUCUUGACGGUACCUAAUCAGAAAGCCACGGCUAACUACGUG
rnacentral:rRNA from 1 species